UAUUUAUAGUAUAAUUUUAUAGAUGGAUGUUAUUUUUUGGAAAGUGUGUGGCAAACAUCAAGUCCACUGUGUAUGUAAAUAUAUAGUAAACACACACACACAACAUAUAGAUAACUGCUGAUAAAUCAAAGUAAUAAUGAGUAAAUUGAGUUUACAGACAGGUAUCAUUAUAUAUCCCAUUAUUGUAUUUUUUUUUAUGAUUGUCUAGAUUUUUUUCGGUCAUUUGUUCAUUGUGUCUAUAAUUUUUGUACCAGAUCAGCGAACAGAGACAACAGGAACAGGACCAGUCCAGAAGCAGACCAGCCGCCGAUCAGGACCUGAUGGCAUGAAUCAGGACCCACAAGGGACAGACCAAAGGUCAAAGCUGUGGAACCCCUGCAGUCAGACAGACCAGGGGAGAGAAACCACAUGAACAGGACCAGUCCAGA